CGGAGGGUGCAAGCGUUAAUCGGAAUUACUGGGCGUAAAGGGUGCGUAGGCGGUUGCUUAAGUCUGUUGUGAAAUCCCCGGGCUCAACCUGGGAAUGGCAAUGGAUACUGGGCAGCUAGAGUGUGUCAGAGGAUGGUGGAAUUCCCGGUGUAGCGGUGAAAUGCGUAGAGAUCGGGAGGAACAUCAGUGGCGAAGGCGGCCAUCUGGGACAACACUGACGCUGAAGCACGAAAGCGUGGGGAGCAAACAGGAUUAGAUACCCUGGUAGUCCACGCCCUAAACGAUGCGAACUGGAUGUUGGUCUCAACUCGGAGAUCAGUGUCGAAGCUAACGCGUUAAGUUCGCCGCCUGGGGAGUACGGUCGCAAGACUG
rnacentral:rRNA from 1 species